rnacentral:miRNA from 1 species
CAAAAUACAGUGUAUUCCGU